rnacentral:rRNA from 1 species
GACGAAGGGGGCUAGCGUUGUUCGGAAUUACUGGGCGUAAAGCGUGCGUAGGUGGUUCGUUGUGUCUGUGGUGAAAGCCCCGGGCUUAACCUGGGAAUGGCCUGGAAACUGGCGAGCUGGAGUCUGGCAGGAGGGGGGUGGAAUUCCGGCGUGUAGCAGUGAAAUGCGUAGAGAUGCGGAGGAACACCGGAUGGCGCAAGGCAGCCCCCUGGGACGUAAGCACGUGACGC